AUUGAACGCUGGCGGCAGGCUUAACACAUGCAAGUCGAACGAGUGGCGGACGGGUGAGUAAUGCUUGGGAAUCUGGCUUUUGGAGGGGGAUAACGACGGGAAACUGUCGCUAAUACCGCGUAACAUAGGAUGAGUCAAAGUGGGAUUAGGGAGUUGGUGGGGUAAUGGACUACAAAGCCGACGAUCUAUAGCUGGUCUGAGAGGAUGACCAGCCAUACCGGUACUUAGAGUCGGCCCUGACUCCUACGGGAGGCAGCAGUGGGGAAGAUUGCGCAAUGGGGGCAACCUGACGCAGCCAUGCCGCGUGAAUGAAGAAGGCCUUCGGGUUGUAAAGUUCUUUCGGUGACGUGGCGUUAAUCACAGAAGAAGCACCGGCUAACUCCGUGCCAGCAGCCGCGGUAAUAC
rnacentral:rRNA from 1 species